rnacentral:rRNA from 1 species
GCCCUGGCGGCAGCUACCAUGCAGUCGAGCGGUAACAGAUCCAGCUUGCUGGAUGCUGACGAGCGGCGGACGGGUGAGUAAUGCAUAGGAAUCUGCCCGGUAGUGGGGGAUAACCUGGGGAAACCCAGGCUAAUACCGCAUACGUCCUACGGGAGAAAGGGGGCUUCGGCUCCCGCUAUCGGAUGAGCCUAUGUCGGAUUAGCUAGUUGGUGAGGUAACGGCUCACCAAGGCCACGAUCCGUAGCUGGUCUGAGAGGAUGAUCAGCCACAUCGGGACUGAGACACGGCCCGAACUCCUACGGGAGGCAGCAGUGGGGAAUAUUGGACAAUGGGGGGAACCCUGAUCCAGCCAUGCCGCGUGUGUGAAGAAGGCCCUCGGGUUGUAAAGCACUUUCAGCGAGGAAGAACGCCUAGCGGUUAAUACCCGCUAGGAAAGACAUCACUCGCAGAAGAAGCACCGGCUAACUCCGUGCCAGCAGCCGCGGUAAUACGGAGGGUGCAAGCGUUAAUCGGAAUUACUGGGCGUAAAGCGCGCGUAGGUGGCUUGAUAAGCCGGUUGUGAAAGCCCCGGGCUCAACCUGGGAACGGCAUCCGGAACUGUCAAGCUAGAGUGCAGGAGAGGAAGGUAGAAUUCCCGGUGUAGCGGUGAAAUGCGUAGAGAUCGGGAGGAAUACCAGUGGCGAAGGCGGCCUUCUGGACUGACACUGACACUGAGGUGCGAAAGCGUGGGUAGCAAACAGGAUUAGAUACCCUGGUAGUCCACGCCGUAAACGAUGUCGACCAGCCGUUGGGUGCCUAGCGCACUUUGUGGCGAAGUUAACGCGAUAAGUCGACCGCCUGGGGAGUACGGCCGCAAGGUUAAAACUCAAAUGAAUUGACGGGGGCCCGCACAAGCGGUGGAGCAUGUGGUUUAAUUCGAUGCAACGCGAAGAACCUUACCUACUCUUGACAUCCUGCGAAUUCGGUAGAGAUACCUUAGUGCCUUCGGGAACGCAGAGACAGGUGCUGCAUGGCUGUCGUCAGCUCGUGUUGUGAAAUGUUGGGUUAAGUCCCGUAACGAGCGCAACCCUUGUCCUUAUUUGCCAGCGCGUAAUGGCGGGAACUCUAAGGAGACUGCCGGUGACAAACCGA